GGUUCGUACGACGCGUAAUGAAGGGAGAGGGAGCCAGCCACGGUGAAUGGUGGUCCCACAGCGAGCACCCCACUCCGACAAGGAAUUCCAACGACCACCACCCAAACCACAGCUUGACGAUAAGCCAGACAGGUUCGCAAGACCCCGACAAUCACAUCCAUUUCCCCUGCGAGGUCUAUGCUCCGCUUCUCCUUGACUUCAAUCGUGUCGGAUCUAUGGUGGCAGUGACACUCUCCCUCGACCUCCUAUCUCUCACCCUCUGCGCAUGAAUAGACCCUAACACCCACGGAUUUUGACGGAGGAAGCUCCCGACCCGAGCUGGUUAUAUACCCCGAGGAGGCACGUGCCAGACAACCUCCAGUCU
rnacentral:lncRNA from 7 species